AACGAACGCUGGCGGCAUGCCUAACACAUGCAAGUCGAACGAGACCUUCGGGCCUAGUGGCGCACGGGUGCGUAACGCGUGGGGACCUGCCUUUAGGUUCCGUAUAACUCAGAGAAAUUUGAGCUAAUACCGGUUGAUGUCUUCGGACCAAAGAUGUAUCGCCUUUGGAUGGGCCCGCGUUGGAUUAGCUAGUUGGUGGGGUACAGGCCUACCAAGGCGACGAUCCAGAGCUGGUCUGAGAGGAGGAUCAGCCACACUGGAGCUGAGACACGGCCCAGACUGGGACGGGAGGGAGCAGUGGGGAAUAUUGGAGAAGGGGCGCAAGCCUGGUACAGCAAUGCGGCGUGAGUGAUGAAGGGGUUAGGGUUGUAAAGCUCUUUUACACGAGAUGAGAGUGACAGUAACGGGAGAAUAAGCACCGGCUAACUACGUG
rnacentral:rRNA from 1 species